rnacentral:lncRNA from 1 species
GGGAGUAAUAGGAUAAAGGAAAUUAGUUUCAAUUGGUUCAUGAGCAAAGAAACAGAAUACAUAGUUAAAGCAUUCGACGACGGCUCUUAACUGAGACAAACUAUCGCUGCUCUUGUCGGAUCAUUUGAUGUAAUUAAAAAAGGAAAGUUAUGGGGGGCAAAGGACUAUCAAAGCUGCCCCAGUGAUUAACGAGAAGAAAUAAUGUAUCUCCUAUUGUGUUUCUAUGCGGUUCGACAACUCUAAUCACAAGGUUGAGGUCAUUAGAGGUAGUUUGGUUGGUGUUAUAGACGUUGCAAGGUUGGAUAACUUCUCGUUAGCGAGGUAAAUGAGACUUUAAGCUUUGAUAUUUUAUUUUUCUAAAAUUCGUGUUAAAAUUGUGUUUUCUUUGCCUGAUCCAUGUGUUAGGACAAGCGUGCGUUUGGCAGAAUCGGUGAUCUUAAACUAGCCGCAAAUAUAUAUUUUAUAAUUAAAAAAGUAUUUUAUAAGUUGUUUUAUAGUUUGAUACGGCUGUGAGCCAUGAUGUUGAGUAUGAUACAACUGUGAGCUAUGCUGUUGAGUUUGAUACGGUUGUGAGCCAUGAUGUUGAGUUUGAUACGGCUGUGAGUCAUGGUAUUGAGCUUGAUAGUUUGAUACGGUUGUGAGCCAUGAUGUUGAGUAUGAUACGGUUAUGAGCCAUGAUGUUGAGUUUGAUACGGUUGUGAGACAUGAUAUUGAGUUUGAUACGGCUGUGAGCCAUGGUAUCGAGUUUGAUAGUUUGAUAAGGCUAUGAGCCAUGAUGUUGAGUUUGAUAGUAUGAUACGGUUGUGAACCAUGAUGUUGGGGCAUUGUGUAUGCCUUUGUAUAUCACCCGAGCAUUGUGUAUGCUUCUUGAUAUAUUUGGAGCAUUGUGUAUGCUUCAGUGAGCAUUGUAUAUGCUCUGUUACAUAUUUGAGGCAUUGUGGUGCCUUUGUGGACGCAUAGAUGUGUUGGUUAAAUUCUUUCACCGCCGUUUAUGACGAGUCGUUAGUAUGGUUUGUGCCAAGAUAUGUAGUAUUGUUAUUUGUUUGGAUCUUAUGAAGUAAUUAUAUGGUGAAAAGAAUUUAUGUGUAUAUUAUUUUUGUGCUCGUUGUGUAUUUAUAUUUUCUAAUACUUGUUCCAGAGUUAUUCAGAGUGACGGGUCGAGGAUCUUAGUGGGUUAUAUUUACGUAUAACUCACUCCUUACUUGCAUGUCCAUGCAGAUACUAUUGGUGAAGACGGAGCAAGUAGCUGACGAGUUCACUAGAGUUGAUUAAAGUUAUUGAGUUGCGCCACCGUAUUGUUCGUGGAGGCUGUCAAAAGAGUCUUUAUCAUUUAUUCAUAUGAUAUCUUUUGUAAUUCUCUUAUAUGCUCCAUAGUCUAGUAUGAGAUUUGGGCUAGAGUUUUUAAUUUAAUAUUUCGAGAUAUUAAUUGUCCGUGAUUGAUUAUCAGA